rnacentral:tRNA from 1 species
GCCUGGGUGGCUCAGUUGGUUAAGCGUCUGACUUCAGCUCAGGUCAUGAUCUCAGGGUCCUGGGAUCAAGUCCCACAUCAGGCU